AAUCAUCUCAAUUUCAAUCUUGUUAUUGAAAUUGGACUUGGGUGUUGUUGUGAGCCACACAACUCAUCCUAAAUGCAUUAGCGAUCUGUCUGUGAUCACACACAAUGUGAUAAGUAAAAAAGCAUUGUUACAAUCGAGUCAGGAUUGCUUCGAACUGUCUGAAAGGACAUCUUUUUAUGUC
rnacentral:misc_RNA from 1 species